GUGGACUGGGAGGGGCAAAGGUCAGAGCGCGGCAUGAGCACAAAAGAACUUAGUGCUUCCUAAUUGCGCACUAAAUUAACCGAAAUCAACAGCAAAACAACGGAAAACCAGCUGGAAGAAUAAAUAAUAAUGAAUGGAAGGCGAACUGGACUCGAAUCGGAUCGUAAAGAUCGUCAGCGCACAUUGAACAUGAAAUGCACCGCCAAUCAAAAAGGCGCACAUAAAAUUAUCCAGUGAAUUGCCGAAAAGAAAAUUAACUCCCAACUCUUGCGCCCACCCUCGCCCCAAUAAAUGGUUAUAAUCUACGUACUGUUUAAAUUUCAAAACUCAACUUGUGGUGUCUGCCGCAUCUGCUGGCACCGCCUCUUGUGUCAAAACUGCGGCUGCUGAUUUUCAGCGGGUUCCGAAUCGAGAUCCGAAACAAUUCAAUUCGUCUCGGAAUUUCAAGCAAAUGAGAAGUUUGGGGAUAAU
ensembl:ncRNA lncRNA:CR44081 long non-coding RNA:CR44081